CGGGCCGUUUGCCUCCGCCUCCUGCCUGCGCUGCCCUUCCCCCUCCCCCUCACGGCGGCAGCGCCGCCACCACAGCGAGCGGGAGGAGGAGGAGGAGGAGGAAGGGACAGAGGGAGGCAGGCCGGCAGGCAGGUCCGGCGGCCCUCUCGGGUACCCCCAGCAGCGAGGCGGGCGAGGGGAAAGAUGGCGACGCUGGGAGGCGAGUCGCAGCCAUUCCCCGCUGCUGUUCUGGCGGCGGCAACGGCCGGGGUGGGCGGCGGCGGUGGUAGUGGUGGGUCGCUGGGUUUGCAGGCGCCUCUGAACCGCGGUCUGGAGCGGGCGUUGGAGGAGGCAGCGCACUCCGGGGGUCUCAACCUGAGCGGCAGGAAGCUGAAGGAGUUCCCGCGCAGCGCCGCCGCCCUCAGCCACGACCUCUCCGAUACGGUGCGGGCAGAUUUAUCCAAGAAUAGAUUAACUGAGGUUCCUACAGAGUUGUGCCAUUUUGUGUCACUGGAAACACUAAAUCUAUACCACAAUUGUAUUAAAAUUAUACCAGAUGCCAUAGUGAACUUGCAAAUGCUAACUUACUUAAAUUUGAGUCGAAAUCAGCUUUCUUCUUUACCAGCUUGCCUGUGUGGUCUUCCUCUAAAAGUCUUAAUUGCAAGUAACAAUAAGCUAGGUUCCCUUCCGGAGGAGAUAGGUCAGCUAAAACAGUUAAUGGAACUGGAUGUCAGCUGUAAUGAAAUCACAGCAUUGCCACAGCAGAUAGGCCAGCUAAAAUCUUUAAAAGAACUGAAUGUCAGAAGAAAUUACCUCGAAGUUUUACCCCAAGAACUAGUACAGCUUCCCUUGGUAAAGUUCGACUUUUCCUGCAAUAAAGUGCUUGUGAUUCCAAUUUGUUUUAGAAAGAUGGUGCAGUUACAAGUAUUACUGCUUGAGAAUAAUCCUUUGCAGUCUCCACCAGCACAAAUUUGUACAAAGGGUAAGGUGCAUAUAUUCAAAUAUCUGACUGUACAGGCCUGUCAAAUUAAAACAGCAGACUCGCUGUAUCUUAAUGCCAUAGAACAACAGCAUUUGCCACAACCCGUGGAGGAGAGCAUUGAUGACAUCUACCCAAGUAAAAAAGACUCAGAUUCAGGUGUUGGUAGUGAUAAUGGCGAUAAACGUUUGUCAGCAACAGAGCCAUCUGAUGAAGAUACUAUCAGCUUUAAUGUUCCAAUGUCUGACAUCGUAGAAGAAGAUCAGGUUGUAAAGGAAGAUUCAGGUCACCAUGCUAACUCAAGAAAAGUGGAAUUCCAUCAGGGAUCUUCUCACUUGAUUGUCAAUGAUAAGUCAAGAGAAACAGGAAACCAGUUUGAUGAAUCGGAUACUCUUACUACUGAAUUUAUGAGUUACAUUAAGAGCAGAGCAGAGUGUGAUGAAUUAUUGAGAAUAGAAGAGGACACACAAUGGCAGACGGAUGAAAUAAUAAGUUUAUCAGAAGAACAAACUAUUGAUAUAGCAAUGAUAGAACAACUAAGAGAAGCAGUAGAUUUAUUACAAGACCCCAACAGAUUAAGCAUGGAUAUUUCAGAGAGCAGUGGUGUGAAUCUGUGUCCCAUGGAACCAGCAACAGCUUUAGAAUUUCAGGAGUCUACAGUAAACAGUCAAAUGCAGAUGGAGACGUCUUCCCUUGGUCAGAGAGAAAAUGCUGAAGAGGAACUAGAAUUUCAGAGGAGGAGGGAGUUGAUUAUGGAGAAAGCAAAGCCUGAAGUGAGAACUUGUGAGCAGGGUGAAAAAUGGUUAUUGAGUCAGAAUGAUCUAAUUGUUUGGAAUACAAGUGGGCAAACCUCUCACAAUGAGAACAAGGACAAAAGUCCGACAGUGUCUCCUACUACAAACACCACAAUCCCUUUUGGCCUGAAGCCACGAUCAGUGUUCUUAAGGCCACAAAGAAAUUUGGAAUCGAUAGACCCACAAUUUACAAUUCGAAGGAAAAUGGAGCAGAUGAGAGAAGAGAGAGAGCUUGUGGAACAGCUACGUGAGAACAUUGAAACAAGACUAAAGAUUUGUUUGCCUGAAGACUUGGGGUCUGCUCUGAUGGAUGGUGUAGUUCUCUGCCACUUAGUAAAUCAUGUUCGUCCUCGGUCUGUAGGAAGUAUUCAUGUACCUUCACCAGCAGUUCCUAAACUUAGUAUGGCUAAAUGCAGGAGAAAUGUGGAAAACUUUCUGGAUGCCUGUAGAAAACUGGGGAUACCAGAGGCUGACCUCUGCUCUCCGUAUGACAUCCUGCAGUCGGAUAUUCGUCACAUUCGAAAGACUGUUGACACUCUGCUCGCCCUCGGGGAGAAAACCCCACAAUCAACUUCUACCUUUCGCUCCUGGGAUCUAAUAGGCUUUUGUCUUUUCCACAUACUUUUUAUAGUCUUGAUGUAUAUAACUUAUCACUGGAAUGUGCUAACAGCAUAACCUGUUCGCAUGUGCACACAAACUUUCUGCUUUGUCUCUGACAAAUUACAGGAGAAGCUCUGCCUACCACAUCACAUCCUAGAAGAAAAGGGCUUGGUAAAAGUGAGCGUAACAGUUCAAGCAUUGCUAGAUGUAACCACAGUGAAACAAGCUUUAUUCACAUGAAACUACUCUCUCUGCUGUUACCAGCUCCACUGUGCCAUCAGAGUCAAAAUACUGCCCAUCUUUUCAAACCGCAUUGAAAAAACCCAGCGCUCCAAGAGUAUUCUCAUAGUUCUGAUUUUAAAAUUGUCUUUCAGACUGUACAUGUGCGUCAAACUACAAACCAGAAACUAAACAGAAACAUUUUCUAGAGCAAAUUGGCGCUUCACUGCUUUUAUAGCUCACUUUGUACAGUACUUACUAAAACCGUCACCUCUCUGCCACUUAAAAAUGUGUGGAGUACACAGCCGUCUUGCAGCAAGAUACCUUCGUAUUAUUAAACUAAGAAUCAUUGUAAUCAUUUGGGGGGGUGGGGGAAGGAGGGAGAGUAAAUCAAACUUCUACCACGUUAGGUUUUUUCUGCAGUUGCUUCAGGCUAUUGCCUUUUAAAAAUAUUCAGACAUAAAAUAUUUAUAUAAAUAUUAUUUAUUAGUGAGUUGUUAUUCAUCCUUUGGAUGCAAAAUGUAAAUUAGGAAACUGUAUUUUAUUACUGC